AAUAAAUCACCGAAGUUAAGCAUCAUUGGGCGCGGUCAGUACUUGGGUGGGUGACCACCUGGGAACACUGCGUGCCGUU